GAUGAACGCUGGCGGCGUGCCUAAUACAUGCAAGUCGAGCGAACGGACGAGAAGCUUGCUUCUCUGAUGUUAGCGGCGGACGGGUGAGUAACACGUGGAUAACCUACCUAUAAGACUGGGAUAACUUCGGGAAACCGGAGCUAAUACCGGAUAAUAUUUUGAACCGCAUGGUUCAAAAGUGAAAGACGGUCUUGCUGUCACUUAUAGAUGGAUCCGGGCUGCAUUAGCUAGUUGGUAAGGUAACGGCUUACCAAGGCAACGAUGCAUAGCCGACCUGAGAGGGUGAUCGGCCACACUGGAACUGAGACACGGUCCAGACUCCUACGGGAGGCAGCAGUAGGGAAUCUUCCGCAAUGGGCGAAAGCCUGACGGAGCAACGCCGAGUGAGUGAUGAAGGUCUUCGGAUCGUAAAACUCUGUUAUUAGGGAAGAACAUAUGUGUAAGUAACUGUGCACAUCUUGACGGUACCUAAUCAGAAAGCCACGGCUAACUACGUG
rnacentral:rRNA from 1 species